GUUACCUUCAUGUUGAAAUAGACUUCACACUAUCCAGGUGAUGAAAAAUAAUCUCCAGGGACUAAGUCAUUCUUUGAAGAUGAACUGAAUCUGUGUACCAUGGGAUAUAAAAUUGUGGGGGAAUGGGUAACCUACUGGCCUUAGAUGUGAAACCAUAAAAUUAUGAGCUACUGAAACCAGGAAAACAUACCUAAAAAAAAGAAAGAAAACAUCCUUGGACUUGAAGAAAGAUGUAUAAACACAAAAGGAGAAAUGCGUGGUGACAAGGGCAAUAAUACAAUUUGCAAGACUGGCUUGACGGUCCUUUGAGUAAGUGUCACCUAGUGGGUGCUGGAAAACGCCACAGGAGUUACCAUAGAAACUGAUGAAGAUUCCUGAAAAUAGUUAGGGACUAAACCAUUGGUCCACCUGGGGCCGCGACGCAUGCGUUUCCAUGGGAACGGGAGCUGUUUGCUGCUGGGUGAUGUGAGGGAGA